AUGAACGCUGGCGGCGUGCCUAAUACAUGCAGGUCGAGCGAACGGACGAGAAGCUUGCUUCUCUGAUGUUAGCGGCGGACGGGUGAGUAACACGUGGAUAACCUACCUAUAAGACUGGGAUAACUUCGGGAAACCGGAGCUAAUACCGGAUAAUAUUUUGAACCGCAUGGUUCAAAAGUGAAAGACGGUCUUGCUGACACUUAUAGAUGGAUCCGCGCUGCAUUAGCUAGUUGGUAAGGUAACGGCUUACCAAGGCAACGAUGCAUAGCCGACCUGAGAGGGUGAUCGGCCACACUGGAACUGAGACACGGUCCAGACUCCUACGGGAGGCAGCAGUAGGGAAUCUUCCGCAAUGGGCGAAAGCCUGACGGAGCAACGCCGCGUGAGUGAUGAAGGUCUUCGGAUCGUAAAACUCUGUUAUUAGGGAAGAACAUAUGUGUAAGUAACUGUGCACAUCUUGACGGUACCUAAUCAGAAAGCCACGGCUAACUACGUG
rnacentral:rRNA from 1 species